rnacentral:lncRNA from 10 species
UGGGCAACUGUAAUCCCAGCUACUAAAAACACAAAAAAUUAGCCGGGCGUGGUGGCGGGAGGCAGAGGUUGCAGUGAGCCGAGAUCACGCCACCAUUACACUACAGCCUGGGCAGCAGGGGGAGACUCUGUCUCAAAAAAAAAAAAAAAAAAGAAUGGCAACAGAAAACACCUGAAAAAAGGCCUCAAUCUGAACCAUGUCAGGAGG